rnacentral:rRNA from 1 species
UUUAUUCAUGCACACCACCCAGAGUGCGCCAGAUCUCAUCAGAUCUCGGAAGCUAGGCAGGGUUUGAGUCUGGAUAGUGCUUCGAUGAGGGAUUACGUGCGUAACAGGAUAUUAUUAUAA